AUAUUUUCUCAUGAGCCUGCUAUGGAUAUAUAGCGCUUAUGUCGCUUAUCUGAGAACUCCUGGGAAGGUCUGAGAAAAGGUACUAUGUUAUGUGAAUCUUCUAGCAGGAGAGUGGCGUAAUACGCUGCAAGGUUCGUACUAGAAAAACGGCACACUUCAUAUAUGAUGAACGCAUGAGGGUUUCACUGGUGCCAGACGUGCAUAUAUGAAGUGUUGGAAGGAGACCCUCGUACCGGCUAUGCUUAGUGCAAUAACCAGGCAAACACAAUUCAUAUAUAUAU
rnacentral:RNase_P_RNA from 1 species